rfam:Tupaia chinensis contig115146, whole genome shotgun sequence.
GGGCUGAUCUGGCUCUGAUAUCUGACUUUCCACUGAUUAGCAGGAUUGAUUUGCCUAAUCUGGUUUACUAAGUGCAAGUCUCCACUUCCCUCAUCAUUCCACUAAAAUCUCUACCGAAAUCGUGCUUUGGUCAAAGGGAGCGACAUUCCUGGAGAGGAACCAUUCAUUAGUCAAGCAAGGCUAAAUCGAUGAAAGACCUCUAUGGGGGAUGUGCACUCACCAGAGAGAGGGAAAGUGAAAAGUCACACACACGCCCCCCCCCCACAGGGGGGGG